CACAGUCUCAACGCUAGCUGCUAUGAUCCUUUUGAUUAUAUCAAAUUUCAGUGAAACUUAGAUCUUUGGAUACUACUGUCAAUCAAUGUAAUCAAUCUGUGAGCACCAGAAAGUCAAUGAGCCAUCUAAUUUUAGGAUUUGAAAAGUCCUUGCUACUCAUAGGCAAAGACAUUAUUAGUCAGUGUGGCCAUUUAAAAAUAAAAUGAAAAUAUUAAAUUGUCUUUCAGGUGCUAUGCAUUUUUUUCACACAGUUGCUGAAUUAUUUGGAUACAUUCAUUAAGUUGUUUGAACUUGCAGCCACAAUGAAAAAAUACAGAAAUAUCGGAUUGCUGUGAAAUGUCAGAGACCCCAAGAAUCAGAGCACCAUCCUUCUGGCAGUGGCUCCUUAUCUACGCGAGACACCUUUGUAGACCUAUUAUCAUAGCUGACCAUAUUUGAUUACAAAAAGAAGAAAGAAGAAGAAGAAAGAGGAGGAGGAGAAGGAGGAGGAGGAGGAGUGAAAUCAUGGAGAAUCAGUGUCCAACCACAUCCAAGAGAGAUGAGAAACAUUUAUGAGCGGGAGUCACUGGUAUUGUUGGAAUACAAGCAGACCUUCAGAGGAUAGCCAGAAGCCAGGAGUAAUCAGGAUAAGUUUGUUAAGUAUGUCUGAACGAAAAAUACAAAAGAGGAUUAGCAGGACAAGCGCAGGAAAUGAAGAAGGAAAGAAGAGAACCAAGAUUUCUGAAGAGGAAUACACUUAAGCACAUUUACAAUAAGAGCAGAAUGGCUGAGACUGUUGCUAUCUGAUCCUGUUCUCACAUUGUUCACUGUCCCUACAAAUGAAAAAUACUAGAUUUAAAGAUUAUAAAUAUCUGCCUUUGCCACUUCGUUGCUACCAUUCAUCUUACUUGAGAGCCUUGGAGUUUUAAUGGCUCUGUUUAGUGGGUGAACAAAAAUCCGUAAAUCAUUUCAUGAAGCACUAUUUAUUACUAAACAUCAAAAAUACUCUGGAAUCUACAAUCAUAAGUCCCAGCUUUGACUUCC
rnacentral:lncRNA from 1 species